CCAGGGGUGGCGGAGUGGCCAAUCGCACCAGACUGUAAAUCUGGCGGGUUUAUCCCUUCGUAGGUUCGAAUCCUACCCCCUGGA
rnacentral:tRNA from 1 species